UACGAAGGGGGCUAGCGUUGCUCGGAAUGACUGGGCGUAAAGGGCGCGUAGGCGGAUGGCACAGUCAGAUGUGAAAUUCCCGGGCUUAACCUGGGGGCUGCAUUUGAUACGUGUUGUCUUGAGUUCGGAAGAGGGUCGUGGAAUUCCCAGUGUAGAGGUGAAAUGCGCAGAUAUCGGGAAGAACACCCGUGGCGAAGGCGGCUCUCUGGGACGGUACUGACGCUGAGGCGCGAAAGCGUGGGGAGCAAACAGG
rnacentral:rRNA from 1 species